rnacentral:rRNA from 1 species
GACGAACGCUGGCGGCGUGCUUAACACAUGCAAGUCGAACGGAAAGGCCCUGCUUUUGUGGGGUGCUCGAGUGGCGAACGGGUGAGUAACACGUGAGUAACCUGCCCUUGACUUUGGGAUAACUUCAGGAAACUGGGGCUAAUACCGGAUAGGAGCUCCUGCUGCAUGGUGGGGGUUGGAAAGUUUCGGCGGUUGGGGAUGGACUCGCGGCUUAUCAGCUUGUUGGUGGGGUAGUGGCUUACCAAGGCUUUGACGGGUAGCCGGCCUGAGAGGGUGACCGGCUACAUUGGGACUGAGAUACGGACCAGACUCCUACGGGAGGCAGCAGUGGGGAAUAUUGCACAAUGGGCGGAAGCCUGAUGCAGCAACGCCGCGUGCGGGAUGACGGCCUUCGGGUUGUAAACCGCUUUCGCCUGUGACGAAGCGUGAGUGACGGUAAUGGGUAAAGAAGCACCGGCUAACUACGUG